UAUGUCCUACGGGGGGCAGCAGUGGGGAAUAUUGCACAAUGGAGGGAACUCUGAUGCAGCGACGCCGCGUGAGUGAAGAAGUAUUUCGGUAUGUAAAGCUCUAUCAGCAGGGAAGAAGAAAGACGGUACCUGACUAAGAAGCCCCGGCUAACUACGUGCCAGCAGCCGCGGUAAUACGUAGGGGGCAAGCGUUAUCCGGAUUUACUGGGUGUAAAGGGAGCGUAGACGGCUGUGCAAGUCUGAAGUGAAAGCCCGUGGCUCAACCACGGAACUGCUUUGGAAACUGUAUAGCUUGAGUACUGGAG
rnacentral:rRNA from 1 species